rnacentral:rRNA from 1 species
CAGUAGCCGCGGUAAUACAGAGGAUGCAAGCGUUAUCCGGAAUGAUUGGGCGUAAAGCGUCUGUAGGUGGCUUUUCAAGUCCGCCGUCAAAUCCCAGGGCUCAACCCUGGACAGGCGGUGGAAACUACCAAGCUGGAGUACGGUAGGGGCAGAGGGAAUUUCCGGUGUAGCAGUGAAAUGCGUAGAGAUGUGGAGGAAUACCGAUGGCGAAGGCAGCCCCCUGGGCCAAUACUGACGCUCAUGCACAAAAGCGUGGGGAGCAAACAGGAUUAGAUACCCCCGUAGUCCCUGUCUCUUAUAC